rnacentral:tRNA from 1 species
GCAGUCGUGGCCGAGUGGUUAAGGUGAUGGACUAGAAAUCCAUUGGGGUCUCCCCGCACAGGUUCGAAUCCCGUCGACUGCG